GAAAUGCGAUAAUUAAUGUGAAUUGCAGAAUUCAGUGAAUCAUCGAGUCUUUGAACGCACAUUGCGCCCCCUGGUAUUCCGGGGGGCGUGCCUGUCCGAGCGUCAUUGCUGCCCUCAAGCACGGCUUGUGUGUUGGGCUUCCGUCCCUGGCAACGGGGACGGGCCCAAAAGGCAGUGGCGGCACCAUGUCUGGUCCUCGAGCGUAUGGGGCUUUGUCACCCGCUCCCGUAGGUCCAGCUGGCAGCUAGCCUCGCAACCAAUCUUUUUAACCAGGUUGACCUCGGAUCAGGUAGGGAUACCCGCUGAACUUAAGC
rnacentral:misc_RNA from 1 species